GUGGGACGUCUCGGACGCUGACGAGUGGCGACGGGUGAGUAAUACAUCGGAACGUGCCCAGUCGUGGGGGAUAACUACUCGAAAGAGUAGCUAAUACCGCAUACGAUCUGAGGAUGAAAGCGGGGGACCUUCGGGCCUCGCGCGAUUGGAGCGGCCGAUGGCAGAUUAGGUGGUUGGUGGGAUAAAAGCUUACCAAGCCGACGAUCUGUAGCUGGUCUGAGAGGACGACCAGCCACACUGGGACUGAGACACGGCCCAGACUCCUACGGGAGGCAGCAGUGGGGAAUUUUGGACAAUGGGCGAAAGCCUGAUCCAGCAAUGCCGCGUGCAGGAUGAAGGCCUUCGGGUUGUAAACUGCUUUUGUACGGAACGAAAAAGCUUCUCCUAAUACGAGAGGCCCAUGACGGUACCGUAAGAAUAAGCACCGGCUAACUACGUGCCAGCAGCCGCGGUAAUACGUAGGGUGCGAGCGUUAAUCGGAAUUACUGGGCGUAAAGCGUGCGCAGGCGGUUAUGUAAGACAGAUGUGAAAUCCCCGGGCUCAACCUGGGAACUGCAUUUGUGACUGCAUGGCUAGAGUACGGUAGAGGGGGAUGGAAUUCCGCGUGUAGCAGUGAAAUGCGUAGAUAUGCGGAGGAACACCGAUGGCGA
rnacentral:rRNA from 1 species